AUGUAGUGUAGCAUGCCCGUUUGGUGCUUAACUUUGAUGAUUAUUUUAUAUUUAAUAUAUUUGGGAUAAAUGGGGUGUUACAAACCA
rnacentral:pre_miRNA from 1 species